GAUGAACGCUGGCGGCGUGCCUAAUACAUGCAAGUCGAGCGAAUGGAUUGAGAGCUUGCUCUUAUGAAGUUAGCGGCGGACGGGUGAGUAACACGUGGUUAACCUGCCCAUAAGACUGGGAUAACUCCGGGAAACCGGGGCUAAUACCGGAUAACAUUUUGAACCGCAUGGUUCGAAAUUGAAAGGCGGCUUCGGCUGUCACUUAUGGAUGGCCCCGCGUCGCAUUAGCUAGUUGGUGAGGUAACGGCUCACCAAGGCAACGAUGCGUAGCCGACCUGAGAGGGUGAUCGGCCACACUGGGACUGAGACACGGCCCAGACUCCUACGGGAGGCAGCAGUAGGGAAUCUUCCGCAAUGGACGAAAGUCUGACGGAGCAACGCCGCGUGAGUGAUGAAGGCUUUCGGGUCGUAAAACUCUGUUGUUAGGGAAGAACAAGUGCUAGUUGAAUAAGCUGGCACCUUGACGGUACCUAACCAGAAAGCCACGGCUAACUACGUGCCAGCAGCCGCAGUAA
rnacentral:rRNA from 1 species